UACAGGGGGGGCAAGCGUUGUUCGGAAUUACUGGGCGUAAAGGGCCAGUAGGCGGCCAACUAAGUCCGACGUGAAAUCCCCAGCUUAACCUGGGAACUGCGUCGGAUACUGGAUGGCUUGAAUUCGGGAGAGGGAUGCAGAAUUCCAGGUGUAGCGGUGAAAUGCGUAGAUAUCUGGAGGAAUACCGGUGGCGAAGGCGGCAUCCUGGACCGACAUUGACGCUGAGGAGCGAAAGCCAGGGGAGCAAACGGG
rnacentral:rRNA from 1 species